rnacentral:misc_RNA from 1 species
GGACAGGAUUGGCAGAAGUUAGAAGAUCGAGGCGGCUGACAGUGUCCUUUAUUUGUACUGUGGCUAAUUAUGAGUAUGGUUUCUUUUGGCACUUCUUUCAGGAUGGAAAAAUCGAAGCUGAAGUCAAAUUAACUGGAAUUCUCAGCCUAGGAGCUUUGCAACCUGGUGAAUAUCGAAAAUAUGGCACGAUGAUUGCACCAGGUUUAUAUGCACCAGUGCAUCAACAUUUCUUUGUUGCUCGGAUGG